rnacentral:lncRNA from 1 species
AUGGAGAGGAAGCUGCGAGGGAUGCUGAGAAAGGGCGGCGGGGGCCUCGGAGGGAAGCUGGGGAAACGCCGCGGGGCAGCCGAGGCCGCCGGCGCCCCGGGAGAAGGUGCAAGUGGAGCGGCGCUGGGGGCGCGGGCGGGCGCUGGGCCGCGGCGGGGCCGGCCUGGGGGUGCGCCCUGGGCUCCUUCUGGACCCGCCCGGCCGCGCAGGGGCUGCGGCCUCCACGCGGGCGCCCUCGGUUCCGCCUCAGCUCCCAGCCGGGCCGCCUUCUCCCCGGGCACGCGCAGCCUCCCGCACCGGGCUGCCCCCUCGCCGUCCCUGCCCUCUCCUUUCCCGCCGCCCACGGGGCCUGGGCCCUCCCCGCCCGCUCCUCCUGCGUCCACUUCGGCGUUCCCGGUUCCGCAGGCGGCCUGUCCUGCCGGCCCCUCCGUCUGCCACCUGGCUUUGUGGGGAACUAGAGCACACACCACACACCGGAGGCGGGAGGGAGGUGGAGGAAGGGAAGGCAGCUGCAGGGCCGACCUGCGGGGUGGGAGUGGGGGGUGGCUGGGGGCGAGAGGCCGGGGGCUCGGGGCCGCAGGGGUUCGGCCUGGAGGAGCGUCGUGGGCGCGCCGGGGCCGCGAUUCCCACUGGGCGGGUCGGCUCCGCAGCCGCUGCGCUCGGAACCCCCCCGGCGCCCCGCAGUACCCGGCGUCCUUCCUGCCUCCUCCGAGCCCCUGUCCUCCGUCCCAGCCCCAGUCCCGCCGACCCUGCCGGCGCCUCCGCCCUCCCGCCCUCGGCCUUCCACGACCUCGGCGCGACGCGCGCGGGACCCAGUGGAGGCUGCUUUCGCGCAGGCCGCCGUCCAGGGCGGGGAAGGGAGCGGACCCUUCCGGCUGCAGGUGCCUGGGCCCCCGGCGGCCUCGCCCCACACCGCCAGCCCACUGGCCUCGCCUUCGCGCGGGGGCACAGGAGGCACUCGGCCCAUCGUCCCCGCUAACCGAGUUCCCCUCCACCCCGCCCGUCGCCAGCGCGGGUGCCCUUCCCGCCCGUCGCUCUCCGAGAAUGCGCCCCGUGGCCCGCAGGCCGCGGGGUCUGGAGGAUGGAGGGGUGGACCCCGCAGAGGGUCGCGCCGCCCUCCCUCCCCUCCCCUCCCCUCCCGCGGGAACAGCCCCCGGGACCGCCCCUCGCUCCUGCCGGGGGUGGGGACUGAGCUUCCCCGAGGUGUGCGGCUCCGGAGAGCUCGUGCCCUCCAGCUGGACCUCGCUGCCCGUUUCCAGCCGGCCAAGCCAUCAGCUGGUUCGUUCGCUUUCUCUUUCCCGCACAGGGAAAAGCAGCCUGAGUCGGGGAGCGGACGGCUCGGGACGGUCCCGGCGCGCGUAG